AGGGGGGGCAGGGCUAACACAUGCAAGUCGAGCGGUAGCACAGAGAGCUUGCUCUCGGGUGACGAGCGGCGGACGGGUGAGUAAUGUCUGGGAAACUGCCUGAUGGAGGGGGAUAACUACUGGAAACGGUAGCUAAUACCGCAUAACGUCGCAAGACCAAAGUGGGGGACCUUCGGGCCUCAUGCCAUCAGAUGUGCCCAGAUGGGAUUAGCUAGUAGGUGGGGUAACGGCUCACCUAGGCGACGAUCCCUAGCUGGUCUGAGAGGAUGACCAGCCACACUGGAACUGAGACACGGUCCAUACUCCUACGGGAGGCAGCAGUGGGGAAUAUUGCACAAUGGGCGCAACUCUGAUGCAGCCAUGCCGCGUGUGUGAAGAAGGCCUUCGGGUUGUAAAGCACUUUCAGCGGGGAGGAAGGCGAUAAUGUUAAUAUCCUUGUCGAUUGACGUUACCCGCAGAAGACGCACCAACUAUCUUCGUGUCCUUUUCCGUGGAUAUACGGAGGGUCAAGGAUUUACUCUGAUUUAAUGGAAUCAUAUCCCGCCUUCGAGGGGAACUGUCAAGUCCAUAUGUAAAAUCCCCGGCUCUCACCCUGGAAACUGCCUUCGAAACUGGGCAGGUUAUUAGUCUUGUAGAGGGGGGGUAAAAUUUCCCGGGUGAUCACCGGAGAAAAUGCCUAAUAUAUCUGGAAGGAAACACCGGUGGUCAAAGGCGCCCCCCUGAACAAAACACUGACUCUCAGGUGCAAAAAGCGUGGGAGAAACAACACAGAGAUUAACAUAACCCUGGGAAACUCCCCCCCCAGAUAAG
rnacentral:rRNA from 1 species